rnacentral:rRNA from 1 species
AGCGAACGCUGGCGGCAGGCCUAACACAUGCAAGUCGAACGAAGUCUUCGGACUUAGUGGCGGACGGGUGAGUAACACGUGGGAACGCGCCUUUAGGUUCGGAAUAACUCAGGGAAACUUGUGCUAAUACCGAACGUGCCCUUCGGGGGAAAGAUUUAUCGCCUUUAGAGCGGCCCGCGUCUGAUUAGCUAGUUGGUGAGGUAAAGGCUCACCAAGGCUACGAUCAGUAGCUGGUCUGAGAGGAUGACCAGCCACAUUGGGACUGAGACACGGCCCAAACUCCUACGGGAGGCAGCAGUGGGGAAUCUUGCGCAAUGGGCGAAAGCCUGACGCAGCCAUGCCGCGUGGAUGAUGAAGGUCUUAGGAUUGUAAAAUCCUUUCACCGGUGAAGAUAAUGACUGUAGCCGGAGAAGAAGCCCCGGCUAACUACGUGCCAGCCGCCGCAGUAAGAC